GGGGAUGUCCGGUUUCGACAGGGUCGGACGCCAGGCCAUUGCACGUCGAGGUGCCCGAGGCCUCGUUAAAACGGUCAAACCUGUAGCUGCGAAACAACCGCAACUCGCCUACGCUGCCUAAGUCUUAGACCUCUAGACAGCGCGUUCAGCCGGACUCGUUCCGUCGGUCCGGAUCCUGAGCGUCACCAAGAUGGAAUGCGAUGAUCUAGUUUGCCAGAGCGCCAUCAUCCAAGACAGUCUGGCUCACCGGUUACCAAUCCUGUCGGCGGGAGUGGUAACAGGCACGAAAAACACCGACUAAACGUGUAGUAAAUGUCCGGCAGAAGGUUCUGGACGGGGGUUCGAUUCCCCCCAUCUCCACCA
rnacentral:tmRNA from 1 species